GGCUUGUCAGAGAUCCGAUUUCGGAAGUGAUGCUGCCAUUAUGUUUUUCAGAUGAAGUUUAUGGGUUUAGGUACUGUCGUACAUUAGGCGUCCAGCCAAUAUAAGCCGCCGACUAGGUUUAGUUGCCCAUUCAUUUGUGAGGCAAGAGUUUAAUGAAUGUUGACAUCUCCGUUUAUUGAGCAAAGAAACCGGCUUGGUAUUUUUAUAGGGGCGUUUUCACUUUCUGAAGCAGAGCCAUGUCUCCUUCGGUGCGUCUGCAGGAGAUGAUCAGGGUGAUCAGAGGAGCCCGUACACAGGGUGAGGAGCGUGGUGUGAUCCAAAGAGAGUGUGCUGCCAUCCGCGCACAGUUCAGACAGGCGGACAAUGGGACCCGCUCUCACAAUCUGGCAAAGCUGCUGUAUGUGCACAUGCUGGGCUACCCCGCCCACUUUGGUCAGGUAGUGAACAGUGCUCUUAAGAUUGUAAUUAUGUAUUUAGUUUCUACAGCGCUUUUCAUUACAUCUCAGUGUUAAUAAUAUAAAUAAACAAGCAACAUAUCAAAUAUAUACAGAAUGUAGCUACACUGAACAAAAAUAUAAAUGCAACAAUUUCAAAGAUUUUACCGAGUUACAGAUAAUUUAAGGAAAUCAGUCAAUUUAAAUCAUUUCAUUUGGCCCAAAUCUAUGAAUUUCACAUGACUGGGAAUACAGCUAUGCAACUGUUGGUCACAGAUACCUUUUUUUUUUUAAAGGUAAGGGCGUGGAUUAGACAACAAAUCAGUAUCCGAUGUGAUCACCAUUUGCCUCAUGCAGCACGGCACAUCUCCUUCACAUAGAGUUGAUCAGGCUGUUGAUUGUGGCCUGUGGAAUGUUGUACCACUCCUCUUCAAUGGCUGUGCGAAGUUGAUGGAUAUUGGCGGAAACUGGAACACGCUGUCGUACAAGUCGAUACAGAGCAUUCCAAACGUACUCAAUUGGUGGCAUGUCUGGUGAGUAAUGCAGGCCAUGGAAGAACUGGGACAUUUACAGCUUCCAGGAAUUGUGUACAGAUCCUUGCGACAUGGGGGAUGUGCAUUAUAAUGCUGGAACAUGAGUUGAUGGCGGCUGAUGAAUGGCAAGACAAUGGGCCUCCGGAUGCCAUAGAUAAAAUGCAAUUGUGUUCGUUGUCUCUAGCUUAUGCCUGCCCAUACCAUAACCCAACACCUCCGUGGGGCACUCUGUUUACAACGUUGACAUCAGCAAACUGCUCACCCACACAACGCCAUACACUCUGUCUGCCAUCUGCCCGGUACAGUUGAAACCGGGAUUGAUCCGUGAAGAGCACACUUCUCCAGCGUGCCAGUGGCCAUCGAAGGUGAACAUUUCACCACUGAAAUCGGUUACGAUACCGAGCUGCAGACAGAUCAAGACCCUGGUGAGGACUACGAGCACGCAGAUGAGCUUCCCUGAGACGGUUUCUGACAGUUUGUGCGGAAAUUCUUUGGUUAUGCAAACCCACAGUCUGUUUCAUCAGCAGUCCAGGUGGCUGGUCUCAGACGAUCUCGCAGGUGAAGAUGCCAGAUGUGUAGGUCCGGUGCUGGCGUGGUUACACCGGGUCUGCGGUUGUGAGGCCGGUUGGACGUACUGCCAAAUUCUCUAAAACGAUGUUGGAGGCGACUUAUGGUAGAGAAAUGAACAUUAAAUUCUCUGGCACAGCUCUGGUGGACAUUCCUCCAGUCAGCAUGCCAAUUGCAGGCUCCUUCUAUACUUAAGUCAUCUGUGGCAUUAUAUUGUGUGAUAACUGCACAUUUUGGAGUGGCCUUUUAUUGUCCCCAGCACAAGGUGCACCUAUGUAAUGAACAUGCUGUUUAGUCAGCUUCUUGAUAUGCCACACCUGUCAGGUGGAUGGAUUAUCUUGGCAAAGGAGAAAUGCUCACUAACAAAGAUGUAGCCAAAUUUAUGCACCAAAUUUGAGAGAAAUAAGCUUUUUGUGCAUAUGGAAAAUGUCUUGGCUCUUUUAUUUCAGCUCAUGGGACCAACACUUUACAUGUUGCAUUUAUAUUCUUGUUCAGUGUACAUAAGAUGUCAGGGGAUGACUCUGUAGAGUUGGUAUAUUUGCUAUUUUUGUAUCCUAACGACCCCCCCCCCCCCCCCCCCCCCCCAAACUUAUGUAAACAAAUGAUUAAUAAUCAUAGAAAUGCUGCAUAGAAAAUAUAAUUUACAUUAAGUUUUGCUCAAAGGGGCAAACCUCAUCUGUGUAUGAUUGUCAAUAAUAAUGCAAUGUAUUCCCUUAAUGCCAGUCACAGGUCUUUUUGUUUGGUGAUACACAUCUUGCAUUGAUUGAAAUGUUUGAUAUUACUGUGCUGCUCAGCAUGGAAUCACUAAUUCCUUGCACUUUCAAGAUUCAUUACCAACCAUCUUAUAUUCUCUAUCAAUAGAAACACGCAAUGAAACACAGUAACACACUAGUCAUUUGAAUGAUAAGAAAUUCCUCACUGAACUGCCACCAUCUAUCUUACAUGCUUUGUUACCCUGUUUGUCAAGCAACAACAGGCAAUGAAAAUGAACAGGCAUGCUCCUACUGUCUCCUUGUGGUGCUGGGAAGCCCAAUGCUGGUGGUUUAGUUCCUUCCUGCCAUUAAAAUCCUCCCACAAACACUA